UACAGAGGUGGCAAGCGUUGUUCGGAAUUACUGGGCGUAAAGGGCGCGUAGGCGGUUCGAUAAGUCCCGUGUGAAAUCCCUCGGCUCAACUGAGGAACUGCACGGGAAACUGACGGGCUUGAGUUCGGAAGAGGAGAGUGGAAUUCCUGGUGUAGCGGUGAAAUGCGCAGAUAUCAGGAAGAACACCGAUGGCGAAGGCAGCCCCCUGGGUCAAGAUUGACGCUCAUGCACGAAAGCGUGGGGAGCAAACAGG
rnacentral:rRNA from 1 species